ACCUGGCUGGCUCAGUCAGAAGAGCAUGAGACUCUUGGUCUCAGGGUUGUGAGUUUGAGCCCCACGUUGGGUG
rnacentral:tRNA from 1 species